rnacentral:rRNA from 1 species
UACGUAGGGGGGCAAGCGUUUGUCCGGAUUUAUUGGGCGUAAAGAGCGUGUAGGCGGCUUCACAGGUCCGCUGUGAAAACUCGAGGCUCAACCUCGAGCUGUCGGUGGAAACCGUGUGGCUAGAGUCCGGAAGAGGAGAGUGGAAUUCCCGGUGUAGCGGUGAAAUGCGCAGAUAUCGGGAGGAACACCGGUGGCGAAGGCGGGUCUCUGGGCCGAUACUGACGCUGAGGAGCGAAAAGCGUGGGGGAGCGAACAGG